AUCUAAGUAGCUUAAAUAGAGCGUAACGUUGAAGGUGUUAAGGUAAUUAAAAAUAAUAAUUUAUAGAUA
rnacentral:tRNA from 1 species